UCCUACGGGUGGCAGCAGUGGGGAAUCUUGCACAAUGGGCGAAAGCCUGAUGCAGCGACGCCGCGUGGGGGAUGAAGCUUUUCGGAGUGUAAACCCCUUUCGAUCCGGACGAAUGUCCCGCAAGGGAUUGACGGUACGGGUAUAAGAAGCCCCGGCUAACUACGUGCCAGCAGCCGCGGUAAGACGUAGGGGGCCAGCGUUGCUCGGAAUUACUGGGCGUAAAGGGUUCGUAGGCGGUGUGGCAAGUCGGAAGUGAAAUCUCCAGGCUUAACUUGGAGGCUGCUCCCGAAACUGCCAUGCUUGAGUGCAGGAGAGGCGAGUGGAAUUGCAGGUGUAGCGGUGAAAUGCGUAGAUAUCUGCAGGAACACCCGUGGCGAAAGCGGCUCGCUGGACUGCAACUGACGCUGAGGAACGAAAGCUAGGGGAGCAAACAGGAUUAGAUACCCGGGUAGUC
rnacentral:rRNA from 1 species